UCUCCGUUGGUGAACCAACGGAGGGAUCAUUACAGGACUCGCAAGACUCCUACAACCCUGUGAACUUAACUAUAAGCACGUUGCUUCGGCGGGUGUCUCGGAGGGGGUUCUCCCUCCCCGAGACGCUAAACCCGCCGGCAGCCUACUAUACUCUGUCUCUUUGCGUUGGCAUCUCGAGUACAAUCAAACAAGUUAAAACUUUCAACAACGGAUCUCUUGGUUCUG
rnacentral:misc_RNA from 1 species